GGGACAAGGUCGAAGCGGCAGCGCGGGAGAGCUGCGCUCUCUUGGCGGCGAGUGGCGGAUGGGUGAGUAAUAUAUCGGAACGUGCCCAGUAGGGGGGGAUAACUACUCGAAGGAGUGGCUAACACCGCACACGCCCUACGGGGGAAAGGGGGGGAUCGCGGGACCUCUCACUAUUGGAGCGGCCGAUAUCGGAUUAGCUAGUUGGUGGGGUAAAGGCUCACCAGGGCAACGAUCCGUAGCUGGUUUGAGAGGACGACCAGCCACUCUGGGACUGAGACACGGCCCAAACUCCUACAGGAGGCAGCAAUGGGGAAUUUUGGACAAUGGGGGAAACCCUGAUCCAGCCAUCCCGCGUGUAUGAUGAAGGCCUUCGGGUUGUAAAAUACUUUUGGCAGAGAAGAAGGGGUAACCCCUAAUACGGGGUACUGCUGACGGUAUCUGCGGAAUAAAACCCGGCUAACUACGUGCCAGCAGCCGCGGUAAUACGUAGGGUGCAAGCGUUAAUCGGAAUUACUGGGCGUAAAGCGUGUGUAGGCGGUUCGGAAAGAAAGAUGUGAAAUCCCAGGGCUCCCCUUGGAACUGCAUUUUUAACUGCCGAGCUAGAGUAUGUCGAAGGGGGGUAGAAUUCCAGGUGUUCCACGUGAAAUGCGUAAAUUUGUUAAAGAAUACCAGGAGCCAAGGCGGCCCCCUGGGAUAAUAGUGACGCUCAGACACCAAAGCGUGGGGAGCAGCGGGAUUAGAUACACUGGUAGUCCAGGCCCUACACGAUGUCAACUAGCUGUUGGGGCCGUUAGGCGUUACUAGCCCAUCUGACGCGUGAAGUUGACCGCCUGGGGAGUACGGUCGCAGUAUUAAACUCAAUGAAUUGACAGGGACUCGCACAAGCCCUGCAUGAUGUGGAUUAAUUCUAUUCAACUCGAAAACCUUACCUACCCUUGACAUGUCUGGAGGCCGAUACUUUGCCGUGCUCGCAUACCACCCGAACACAGGUGCUGCAGGCUGUCGUCAUCUCUGUCUCGAUGUUGGGUUAAUUCCGUCAACUACGCAACCCUCGCACUCAGUGGCUACGCUUGACACUCUAUUUCACUGCCGUGACAACC
rnacentral:rRNA from 1 species